UGGAAUCCAGUUCUGUCAUUACACCAAGAAGAGAGAAACUUCCUGUUGAAUGUUUUCACUGUUUCUGGUUUAUUUACUAGCCAUCACUCUGAUAAGAAAAAGCAAACUAAUUAAAUAAACUCCAGGAGCUUUCUGAUAGAAACCAGGAGACAUCAAAGUCUUUCAUGGAUGGUACUAGGUAGGUCUAAGAAGUCACCUUAUGUCAAUAUCAUUCCAUU
rnacentral:lncRNA from 1 species